rnacentral:rRNA from 1 species
GAUGAACGCUGGCGGCGUGCCUAAUACAUGCAAGUCGAGCGAAUCUUUAGGAGCUUGCUCCUAAAGGUUAGCGGCGGACGGGUGAGUAACACGUGGGCAACCUACCUGUAAGACUGGGAUAACUUCGGGAAACCGGAGCUAAUACCGGAUAAUACUUUUUCUUCCAUGAGGAAAAGUUGAAAGAUGGCUUCGGCUAUCCCUUAUAGAUGGGCUCGCGGCGCAUUAGCUAGUUGGUGAGGUAACGGCUCACCAAGGCAACGAUGCGGAGCCGACCUGAGAGGGUGAUCGGCCACACGGGGACUGAGACACGGCCCAGACUCCUACGGGAGGCAGCAGUAGGGAAUCUUCCGCAAUGGACGAAAGCCUGACGGAGCAACGCCGCGUGAGCGAUGAAGGCCUUCGGGUCGUAAAGCUCUGUUGUUAGGGAAGAACAAGUAUCGUUCGAAUAGGGCGGUACCUUGACGGUACCUAACCAGAAAGCCACGGCUAACUACGUGCCAGCCGCCGCGGUAAUAC